CAGUAAGAACCUUCCAGCAUUAUUUGACUAAGCCUGUUUGAUAUCCGACUCCGACCUGUUACCUGUUAAUUGAGCCUGCCUGUUCCCAGCCUGUGUCUGUCUGCCUGGUCCCCCGUCUCCUGGAAUCCCUACCCUUGGACUGCCUUCUUGUGUACCGGAAUUGGAUUUGGACCUGGACCCCCCCGCUCGGAUUAUCCUUCCCCUGUGCUUCGUUUAGAUUGCUGGAUUCCCCGUUACCGGACCUGGAUUGCCCUUGGACAAACCCCUCUCGGAAAGCCCCGUUCGUACUCACUGCCUUCCAGCCGCUCAACGGCUCCAGACUUGCUCAUCUGCGGACGGAUCAAGCUCUCAGAGAAGCGUGUCCGAAUUGCCCGGCUCUCCUUAUUAUAAGGAGGUUCCUGCCAGUGAGCGUGAGCCGCAAACCCUGAGAGUCGACGCCUGCGUCUCCUGUUUUUAAAUAAACUUUGUAAGAACGUCACUGACCUGUUGUGGUGAAUCUUGGGUCGAGCUUCCGGUUCAUUACACUCAGCUUUUG